UCACGGAGUCAAGCAGGUGAUUGAUAACUGUUUGUCAAUAAUCCCCAACGAAACAAUUGGGAUCGAUCGAAUAGCGCAAACCAGAGGUUGGCCAAUUUUUAUAGACGUUCUGUGCAAUAAUUAGUCGAUCAAUUGAAUCGGUUGACAAACGAUCUCUCUAUUAGUGAAUUUUGUUUUGUUUUUCCCAUUAGAUGUACGAAUACAAUAUGUACGAAUACAACAUAUUACUAGAAAAAAAGGAUCUCCCAAAAGGCAUACCAAUCAAAAACUAACCGUGGUAAGAGAGAGGUGAAAUUAAUAGAACUAGAAGAAGAGGAAAGAGCUUCGAUUAAGGAUUUGAAGGAAGAAUUGCCAAUAGCUUUCCACAUGACAUCAGGGACUGCUCCGCGGUUAUGGAUUCCUGCUCGAAGAUGAACAUGUUGCGAGCUUUCCACAUUUUCCAGCUUAAAAUUUUCCACUCCAUAAAGGUUCGCUUGUUGAGAUGAUUGCUCUUGAAGAGCGAUGUUGCACGAGACCAGCUUUGCAGAAGGAGGUUGAGCCAUUGCAUAUAACAUUUCUAGGUAUGGUGCUUCUUCUCCAUGUCUCAUUAGUCUUCACACAUUCAAAGAGACAAUGAUUAAUGGUUUCCUGGGCUUGAUUACAAUGGCGGCAAAUGGGGGAGAUUGUUUGGAUGCGGCGGUGGAGGUUUUUGGAGCACAUGCAGCUUUUCAGGGAGGCUCUUCCAAAGAAAGAUUUUAAUUUUUGGCUGCAGGGGAAGCUUCCACAAGUCUCUCCAGGUCUCUUUAUGCUUCAUCCAAUUCGAGAAAACUCAAUUGAAAGGUGGAAGAAAAGGAGGAAAGAAAGGCUGAUUCGGACCAAGCCACGGGUCUCGGAACGGGUUGAUGGAGUCACCAGUACCAACAUUUCAAUAUAAACCUUUUUCUAGUACUUUUCGAUCUUCCAGCAAACUCUUUCAACCCUAAAAAGGUGUAUUCCCUGAUUCUGCAUUUAAAACAUUCCUGUACUGAUAAUAUUUUUUUUAGUAUCCUAGCUAAUAAGGACUGAGAUUGCGUUGA